GCGGUAGUAGCUCAGAGGAAGAGCGUCAGCUUCCCAAGCUGAGUGUCGCGGGUUCGAGUCCCGUCUACCGCU
rnacentral:tRNA from 1 species